AACACAAGAUCCAGCGCACUCACCUAUCCACUAAACAGCAACUUCAAAGUUGAAAGAUUUUAUAACUAAUAAAAUCUUUCAACUUUGAAGUUGCUGUUUAGUGGAUAGGUGAGUGCGCUGGAUCUUGUGUUU